UCUGGGAGCAUGAGGGCCUCUUACCAGCCGCUCAGGGCAUCUUCCCGCCGCCUGGAGAGUCCCUUUUCGUGGGGCUUCCUGGGGGUCCUUCUGCUGGCCCUAGAGCUCCUGCUCCCCAUGUGCUCAGGUGACUGUGCUGAGCCACAACCUUAUAAAACUAUGGUACCCAAGAAUUAUCUUGGAGGCCCUCUUGGUCCUCUGAUCAUAUUAUUCUAUGAGUGUAUCCCAGGAUACGGGCCUAUUGAUCCUUCAAAACCCAUUAAAACUGUUUGUCAGUAUGAUGGCUCAUACAAACCCGCUCUCAAGGAGAGUUGUACAAUAUUGUCAUGUUCAAAGCUACAAGAACCCCAAAAUGGCAAAGUAGUCUACGUUAAUGCAACUACCAAAUUUGGUUCACAAGUUCAGUAUGUUUGUACUGAGGGUUAUUACAUAGUUGGAAUAAAAAAUCGAACAUGUGAAGCCAAUGAAACUGAAGUGAUAUGGAGUGGUGAUCCACCAACUUGUGAAAAGAUUUUUUGUGAGCCACCUAUACAUAUACCAAAUGGAGACUACACCAAUAGAGGCAAGGAUAUAUUUGGAUAUAAUGAAACAGUUAUUUAUAGUUGUAAGCCUUCGAAUGCAACAGAUCAUUAUACACUUGUCGGAGAGAGCACACUUGUUUGUAUUGGGCCUGACGAAUGGAGUAGUGAGCCUCCUGAUUGUAAAGCAACUUACACACCCAUUGAUGGACCAACAACUAGUGCUGCUGACUUAGAUGGAGGACUCAUUGCUGUGAUUGUUCUGACUUUAUUAUGUACUUGGACCAGAUGUUCUAAUAUGUCAAGACUCUGGUGGGAAUAAUUUGGCAUGGAGUGAGGCACCACCAAGUUGUGAAAAGAUUGUGUGUCAGCCACCUCCGCAAAUAUCAGAUGGAGAAUUCACCAAUGCCCAGAAGGAUACAUAUGAAUAUAAUGACACAGUUAUUUAUAGUUGCAUGCCUCCUGAUGGACCAGAUGGAUAUACACUUGUCGGAGAGAGCAAGCUUGUUUGUAUUGGGUAUUACCAAUGGAGUAGUCACGCUCCUGAGUGUAAAGAUUAUCCUGGCUCUUCCUAGUCCCUUGAGGUUCCAUAUGAAUUAUAUGUUGGAUUUUUCUAUUUCCGCAAAAUGCAUAUUCAAGAAGAAAAUAAAAGACCCUCUAAUGAAUCACCAACUACAGCCGAUGAUUUAGAUGGAGGACUCAUUGCUGUGAUUAUUCUGACUGUACGAAGGCAGAGGGAGAUGUGACUACAGCACCAGGCAAUGUGACCACUCAAGCAAAAUGCUGCUGGAUGGAGAAUGGAGGCAGGAGCCAGAAAGCAAAGAAUGCAGCUACAGAAGCUGGAAAAGGCAAGGAAACAGCUUCUCUCCCAGUCCCCUGGUGGGCGGGUGGCCCAGCCCACACCUUCAUUUCCAUCCAGUGAAAUUGAUUUCUGACUUAUGACUUCCAGAACGAAAAGAAUAAAUGUGUGUUGU